rnacentral:rRNA from 1 species
UACAGGGGGUGCUAGCGUUGUUCGGAAUUACUGGGCGUAAAGGGCGCGUAGGCGGUUUUGUAAGUCAGGAGUGAAAUCCCGGAGCUUAACUUCGGAAUUGCUUUUGAAACUACAAGGCUAGAGUGAGUUAGAGGAUGGCGGAAUUCCUAGUGUAGUGGUGAAAUACGUAGAUAUUAGGAAGAACACCGGUGGCGAAGGCGGCCAUCUGGGACUCAACUGACGCUGAGGCGCGAAAGCGUGGGGAUCAAACAGGAUUAGAUACCCUGGUAGUCCACGCCGUAAACUAUAGAUACUCGCUGUAGCUGGUAAUCAUUCCGGCUGUGGCUUAGCUAACGCGAUAAGUAUCUCGCCUGGGAAGUACGGUCGCAAGAUUAAA